UACGAGGGAGGGCUAGCGUUGUUCGGAAUCACUGGGCGUAAAGGGUGCGUAGGCGGCGCGGUAAGUCGGGUGUGAAAUCUCGGAGCUUAACUCCGAAACUGCAUUCGAUACUGCCGUGCUUGAGGACUGGAGAGGAGACUGGAAUUUACGGUGUAGCGGUGAAAUGCGUAGAUAUCGUAAGGAAGACCAGUGGCGAAGGCGGGUCUCUGGACAGUUCCUGACGCUGAGGCACGAAGGUCAGGGGAGCGAACGGG
rnacentral:rRNA from 1 species